rnacentral:rRNA from 1 species
UGGGGAAUAUUGGACAAUGGGCGCAAGCCUGAUCCAGCCAUGCCGCGUGAGUGAUGAAGGCCCUAGGGUUGUAAAGCUCUUUCACCGGUGAAGAUAAUGACGGUAACCGGAGAAGAAGCCCCGGCUAACUUCGUGCCAGCAGCCGCGGUAAUACGAAGGGGGCUAGCGUUGUUCGGAUUUACUGGGCGUAAAGCGCACGUAGGCGGACUUUUAAGUCAGGGGUGAAAUCCCGGGGCUCAACCCCGGAACUGCCUUUGAUACUGGAAGUCUUGAGUAUGGUAGAGGUGAGUGGAAUUCCGAGUGUAGAGGUGAAAUUCGUAGAUAUUCGGAGGAACACCAGUGGCGAAGGCGGCUCACUGGACCGUUACUGACGCUGAGGUGCGAAAAGCGUGGGGAGCAAAACAGGAUUAGAUA